GAUGAACGCUGGCGGCGUGCCUAAUACAUGCAAGUCGAGCGAACAGACGAGGAGCUUGCUCCUCUGACGUUAGCGGCGGACGGGUGAGUAACACGUGGAUAACCUACCUAUAAGACUGGGAUAACUUCGGGAAACCGGAGCUAAUACCGGAUAACAUGUUGAACCGCAUGGUUCAACAGUGAAAGACGGUUUUGCUGUCACUUAUAGAUGGAUCCGCGCCGCAUUAGCUAGUUGGUAAGGUAACGGCCUACCAAGGCAACGAUGCGUAGCCGACCUGAGAGGGGGAUAGGCCACACUGGAACGGAGACAGGGACCAGACUCCUACGGGAGGCAGCAGUAGGGAAUCUUCCGCAAUGGGCGAAAGCCUGACGGAGCAACGGCGCGUGAGUGAAGAAGGUCUUCGGAUCGUAAAACUCUGUUAUUAGGGAAGAACAAAUGUGUAAGUAACUAUGCACGUCUUGACGGUACCUAAUCAGAAAGCCACGGCUAACUACGUG
rnacentral:rRNA from 1 species